rnacentral:rRNA from 1 species
GAUGAACGCUGGCGGCGUGCUUAACACAUGCAAGUCGAACGGAAAGGCUCUUGCUUGCAGGGGUACUCGAGUGGCGAACGGGUGCGUAACACGUGGGCGAUCUGCUCUGCACUUUGGGAUAAGCCUGGGAAACUGGGCUUACUCUCGGAUAGGAUGCUGGUUUGGAUGCCAUUGUGGAAAGUUUAUUCGGUGUGGGAUGAGCUUGCGGCCUAUCAGCUUGCUGGUGGAGUAAUGGCCGACCAAGGCGUAGACGGGUAUCCGGCCUGGGAGGGGGUACGGGCACAAUAGGACUGAGAGACGGCCCAGACGGCAACGGGAGGCAGCAGUGGGGAAUAUUGCACAGUGGGCGCAAGCCUGAUGCAGCGACGCCGCGGGGGGGAUGACGUCCUGCGGGUUGUGAACACCAGUCGCUAGGGACGAAGCGCAAGUGACGGUACCUAGAGAAGAAGCACCGGCUAACUACGUG